AAGGCAAAAGUAAAAUGUACUCGAAUGUAUUUAUACAUUUAUACUUCUGCUUCGUCCCAAAUUCCUUCCUGCAGUUGGAAUUUGGUUCUCCUCUGAGCGGCUCCUCAGUCCUCCUUCCCUCAACCAAGCCUCACAGAUAGAACUGCGGCAAAACGUUCUUGCAUUCUUCGAUGGACCCUUCAUCAGCUGGAUUUCCUGUACCCCAUAAGCAGCUCACUUUUGAUGUUAAGGGAAUUAAAACAAAUUUGGUCAUUUGUCGUUAUGAAGAUCAUUUUCUUGUUAUCGUGACUCAACUUGGAAGCUUGGGAACGUUAUUGCAAGCCAGGAAGGAGGAAGGCGUAUCAGUUCAGCCAACAUUUCACGUGUCCGUCUUAUUUGGAAAACGAGAUGAGCCAAUGCUGUCUGCGUGUGCUCGGCAGCUGAUCGAAAAUAUAAGUAUUUCCAACAAGUGGCGUAGAGUGGAUCAAAGAGUUGAGAGAUGAAUGACAUAAAUAAUAGCUACAUGGUCUUGGAUUCAUUGCUGCUGGUUCGUCUAGAUGUCUGGUGCUUUCUCUUGGUCUGAAAGACCAUUCUACGGAUACAAUCAAGGCCAUAGUUUCCGAAGUGAUAGAAAAUCGACUCUGGUGAUCGUGUAGCUAUAUCUUGAAUCGAUGUGCAUCAGUAACAGAGAAGAUAAUCGUGUAAUGCUUCAUCCUGUCGUGUUAAGCCUUUUACUGUCUUGCAAGUUGUUAGGAUACCGGGAACAGAAGCUUCCGCCACUGUCAUCUUGCAGCUUUUGUCCACAAGUACUCUCCGAUUUCUUUUCACCUCUCGAGAUUUUCCAUUUUUCUGGUUAACCCUUUUUUUAACUUCUAAUCUGUCCGAUUCAACUAUAUGUUCCGUCUUAUUUUUGCUCAUUACCAUAUAAAUUUACUAUCC